rnacentral:rRNA from 1 species
UACGGAGGGUGCAAGCGUUAUCCGAAUUCACUGGGUUUAAAGGGUGCGUAGGUGGGUUGGUAAGUCAGUGGUGAAAUCUGCAAGCUUAACUUGGAAACUGCCGUUGAUACUAUCAAUCUUGAAUCUCGUGGAGGUAAGCGGAAUAUGUCAUGUAGCGGUGAAAUGCUUAGAUAUGACAUAGAACACCGAUAGCGAAGGCAGCUUGCUACACGAGUAUUGACACUGAGGCACGAAAGCGUGGGGAUCAAACAGG